rnacentral:rRNA from 1 species
ACGAUGAAGCCCUUCGGGGUGGAUUAGUGGCGAACGGGUGAGUAACACGUGGGCAAUCUGCCCUUCACUCUGGGACAAGCCCUGGAAACGGGGUCUAAUACCGGAUAACACUCCUGCCUGCAUGGGCGGGGGUUAAAAGCUCCGGCGGUGAAGGAUGAGCCCGCGGCCUAUCAGCUUGUUGGUGGGGUAAUGGCCCACCAAGGCGACGACGGGUAGCCGGCCUGAGAGGGCGACCGGCCACACUGGGACUGAGACACGGCCCAGACUCCUACGGGAGGCAGCAGUGGGGAAUAUUGCACAAUGGGCGAAAGCCUGAUGCAGCGACGCCGCGUGAGGGAUGACGGCCUUCGGGUUGUAAACCUCUUUCAGCAGGGAAGAAGCGAAAGUGACGGUACCUGCAGAAGAAGCGCCGGCUAACUACGUGCCAGCAGCCGCGGUAAUACGUAGGGCGCAAGCGUUGUCCGGAAUUAUUGGGCGUAAAGAGCUCGUAGGCGGCUUGUCACGUCGGAUGUGAAAGCCCGAGGCUUAACCUCGGGUCUGCAUUCGAUACGGGCUAGCUAGAGUGUGGUAGGGGAGAUCGGAAUUCCUGGUGUAGCGGUGAAAUGCGCAGAUAUCAGGAGGNAACACCGGUGGCGAAGGCGGAUCUCUGGGCCAUUACUGACGCUGAGGAGCGAAAGCGUGGGGAGCGAACAGGAUUAGAUACCCUGGUAGUCCACGCCGUAAACGUUGGGAACUAGGUGUUGGCGACAUUCCACGUCGUCGGUGC